rnacentral:rRNA from 1 species
AGCUCCAAUGGCGUAUAUUAAAGUUGUUGCGGUUAAAAAGCUCGUAGUUGGAUUUCUGCUGAGGAUGACCGGUCCGCCCUCUGGGCAGGUAUCUGGCUCAGCCUUGGCAUCUUCCUGAAGAACGUAGCUGCACUUGACUGUGUGGUGCGGUAUUUAGGACAUUUACUUUGAGGAAAUUAGAGUGUUUCAAGCAAGCGCACGCCUUGAAUACAUUAGCAUGGAAUAAUAAGAUAGGACCUCGGUUCUAUUUUGUUGGUUUCUAGAGCUGAGGUAAUGAUUGAUAGGGAUAGUUGGGGGACUACUGCGAAAGCAUUUGCCAAGGAUGUUUUCA